rnacentral:rRNA from 1 species
GUGUCAGCAGCCGCGGUAAUACGAAGGGGGCUAGCGUUGCUCGGAAUUACUGGGCGUAAAGGGAGCGUAGGCGGACAUUUAAGUCAGGGGUGAAAUCCCAGAGCUCAACUCUGGAACUGCCUUUGAUACUGGGUGUCUUGAGUGUGAGAGAGGUAUGUGGAACUCCGAGUGUAGAGGUGAAAUUCGUAGAUAUUCGGAAGAACACCAGUGGCGAAGGCGACAUACUGGCUCAUUACUGACGCUGAGGCUCGAAAGCGUGGGGAGCAAACAGGAUUAGAUACCCCUGUAGUCC